rnacentral:lncRNA from 13 species
UCCCUUGCCUUGCUGCAUCCUUCUUGACAUUUUUUUUUUUUUUAACUCAAAAAGCUUGGAUAUCCUGAAAUUGUUGAACUAGAUGUAAGUGCUGGUUCCCCCUCUCCGCUCUCGCCAGCAGGCUGAGAGUUACCGAAGGGGAGGAGGAGUGGGAUGGGGUGAAGUGAGAUGGGGGCCGUUGGAGAGAAACUAAAGUGAGGUGCCCGGGACAGGAAAAGUGGGAGGAGGAGGAGGAGGAGGAGGAGGGGAGGAGAAGGAGGAGGAGGAGGAGGAGGAGGCCGUAAGAUGAGAGAGGAGGGAAACGUGUCAACAGCCCGGCUCUGGGAGCUCCGCAGCCGAAGCGUUUGUUGACUUGCGCUUGAGAGGAACCGAGGCGGGACGGGACCCCAUCUGAGGGCAGAGCUGGGGGAGGAGGGAGGGAGGGAAGGAGAGCUGGCAGACGGCGAGAACCAUCCAGGUCGCUGCUUUCUCUCCGGUGAGAAAACUUCCUCGGGAAGACCGGAAACUUUUUCCUAGGCGCGCGAAGUCUGGGGCGGAGGCGAGCGGCGAGUGUGCGCGGCUUGGGGUGAUGCACGCCGGAGACUCCAAGGAGGUGUUGGCUACCUUUGUGGUUUUAAGAAAGCCUGAGGGCCUGAAGGCAGCCACGGGAGAAGCCCUUUCCGAGGGCAUUCGGAACCUUCCCAUCCUAGAGGUGAAGCUGAACUGUCACCAGGACUUAUGACCCGCGGCUUCGCUCCCAUUCUGCCCAUUGAGUUCCACAAGAUGGGCUCCUUCCGCAGGCCUAGACCGCGCUUCAUGAGCUCCCCCGUACUCAGUGACCUGCCCCGAUUCCAAGCAACUCGGCAGACUCUGCAGCUGAGCUCCAGCUCAGCCUGGAACAGCGUUCAGACUGCUGUGAUCAACGUUUUCAAAGGGGGUGGCUUGCAAAGCAACGAGCUCUAUGCCCUGAACGAAAACAUCAGGCGGCUGUUGAAGAGUGAACUUGGAUCAUUCAUUACAGACUAUUUUCAGAACCAGCUUCUUGCAAAAGGACUGUUCUUUGUGGAGGAGAAGAUCAAGCUGUGUGAAGGUGAAAAUCGCAUUGAGGUUCUGGCUGAAGUCUGGGACCACUUCUUCACUGAGACUCUCCCUACCCUGCAAGCAAUAUUUUAUCCAGUUCAGGGCCAGGAGCUGACUAUCCGCCAGAUCUCCCUGCUGGGCUUCCGAGACCUGGUCCUGCUGAAGGUGAAGCUGGGUGACUUGCUGCUGCUGGCCCAGUCCAAGCUGCCCUCGUCCAUUGUCCAGAUGUUGCUCAUCCUGCAGGCCUGGUGCCAGGUAGCCCUGCAACCAUGUGAGAAAGCUUCAGUCAUCAUACCCCUGAAUCCCCAAAGACAGAGUGUUCACGAGCCCACAGGCCCAAGUGAGAGUUAUUUGCAACUGGAGGAGCUGGUGAAGCAAGUGGUUUCUCCUUUCCUCGGCAUCAGUGAUGACCGUAGCUUCUCAGGCUCUGCGUACAUGCUGGCCAGGCGGCACUCCAGGGUCCGGCCCAAGGUGACUGUCCUGAACUAUGCCUCCCCGGUAACUGCAGUCAGCCGGCCACUGAAUGAGAUGGCCUUGACCCCACUGACAGAGCAGGAGGGGGAAGCCUACCUGGAGAAGUGUGGCAGCGUGCGGCGGCACACGGUGGCCAAUGCCCACUCAGACAUCCAGCUGCUGGCCAUGGCCACCAUGAUGCACUCAGGCCUGGGGGAGGAUGCCAGCAGUGAGGACAAAUGCCUGCUCCUGCCACCCAGCUUCCCCUCACCUCACCGGCAGUGCUCCAGUGAGCCCAGCAUUACCGACAGCCCUGACGGACUGGAGGAGGGGGCCGGGGGCAGCCAGGAGGGCUCAGAGCUGAACUGUGCUUCCCUCAGCUGA